GACAGAGGGUGCGAACGUUGUUCGGAAUUACUGGGCGUAAAGCGCGUGUAGGCUGUCAUGCAAGUCGGGCGUGAAAUCCCUGGGCUCAACCGAGGAAGUGCGCUCGAAACUGCAUGACUGGAGUUCCGGAGAGGAUGGUGGAAUUCUCGGUGUAGAGGUGAAAUUCGUAGAUAUCGAGAGGAACACCAGUGGCGAAGGCGGCCAUCUGGACGGAAACUGACGCUGAGACGCGAAAGCGUGGGUAGCAAACAGG
rnacentral:rRNA from 1 species